rnacentral:rRNA from 1 species
GACGAACGCUGGCGGCGUGCCUAAUACAUGCAAGUCGAACGCUUUUUCUUUCACCGGAGCUUGCUCCACCGAAAGAAAAAGAGUGGCGAACGGGUGAGUAACACGUGGGUAACCUGCCCAUCAGAAGGGGAUAACACUUGGAAACAGGUGCUAGUACCGUAUAACACUAUUUUCCGCAUGGAAGAAAGUUGAAAGGCGCUUUUGCGUCACUGAUGGAUGGACCCGCGGUGCAUUAGCUAGUUGGUGAGGUAACGGCUCACCAAGGCAACGAUGCAUAGCCGACCUGAGAGGGUGAUCGGCCACACUGGGACUGAGACACGGCCCAGACUCCUACGGGAGGCAGCAGUAGGGAAUCUUCGGCAAUGGACGAAAGUCUGACCGAGCAACGCCGCGUGAGUGAAGAAGGUUUUCGGAUCGUAAAACUCUGUUGUUAGAGAAGAACAAGGAUGAGAGUAGAACGUUCAUCCCUUGACGGUAUCUAAUCAGAAAGCCACGGCUAACUACGUGCCAGCCGCCGCCGUAA